UCCACAUGUGUUCCUCUGCAGAAAUCAGUUUAGUGACAUGGCCUUUCCCUUCUUCUGUGAAGCCCUUCUGCAUGCUCUGUGCAAUGGGCAGUGACUUAGAGGGUGCUCAGAAGCCUGAUACUGUUGCUGCUUUUGCCUUUAUGAACCUCAUGGGAAUGAGGCAAGUGGAUAUUUGCCCUGCAAUGGCAGAAAGAGGGCUCUGGCAAGGUCUACUCUGUACAGAGAUCUUUGGAGACAGCAUAAGGGGAUAGAAACUAAGGGCAUGAUUCUUCUUGUAAUGGAAAGUGGAUCCAGAAAGGAGAAGAAGAAGAGAAGAGACAGAAACUAUGUGACCACCUUCAGUGUGGAGAUCCAGUCCCCCCAGAGUGAUGGUAUCUGCAACAGAGGAUGAUUUUCUCUCAGAAAUUUUUGAGAGAUUUUGCAGCAGUUUCAGUAAGAGUUAUCUGCCAGAUUGUAAGGUUUAUUUUACGCUAUAAAGUUCAUCUGAGAAAUGAAAAACAACACAGAUUUGCUUUCACUUCAUUUUUCCUUUUCAUCCUCUUCUCAGCCAAGCAUGAACCUCAUCCUCUCUCUUUGUUUCUCACAAAAGGGUUGGAGCUGGUUUCCAGCAAUUAUUCUGAAGCAAAGCAGAUCAGCAUAGCAAAGUUAAAGCAAUAAAAAUAACAGUACAGACAGGAAAAAAUAUUGCAUGAUGGAUUCUGAUCUCCUGUGCUUCAGCAUUAAUCACAGUAUUGAUUUUAACAGGAAUGACUUCUCAGCAUACUGACUGUAGUUGCUUUUUGUUCUUUUUAUUUUACUGCGGCUGAUUAGUAUCUGUCCUUCUGUGUCCAGUGUGGAACCAUCCUCUGGAGAGAGUGCUUUCAGAAAUACUUUUAUUUUUUUCUCAGUUAAAAUAAUUACUUGAAGAGAUAAGAUGACUCAGCUGGAGUUAUUAGGGCUGGUGUUCUGUUUGGAUUAUUGGAUUAUUACAGAAAAUUAAAAAAAAAAAAAAAAAAAGAGAGAAACUGAUUUUGUUAAGAUGCCUGUUGCACUGCAUGCCCAUAAACUGUAGAUGUUUUUAGUUUAAACCAUUUUGAAAAACAUUCGCAGCAAAAUAUUGGGUUGUGGUACAUGUACUCCUGAACAGUGAGAAAGCUGCAUGAUAAAAACAAUGCACUAACAGGUCUGAAGGUAGAACUAAGACCUGGAGUUGAUGAACUGAGUAAUUCUGUGUGAUUAGCACAUGCCACAGUAAGAUUAUUUGAGUUACUCUAUUUUACUGCACAUUUAAUUUAUAUUUCUAUGGAUUAAAUUAAAUCUUCUACUAUCAACACUGUCGUACUUAUCUUUCUGCUACAUGUAAACGUGCAAAUGUAGAUGCACAGUAUGAACACGUGCAUCUCCCAACAUAACACUACAUUUCUUCUCUUUGGUGUCCUGUUAAUCUGUCUCUGCACAGCUACGUCUUUGACCAGACAAUUUCCUGGAAAGAGAACAUUUUCCUUUCCCUCAGUAGCAAAGUCUCUUUUCUGUUCAUUCAUGAUUCUUGUUAAGACUUCUUUUUUUUCUCUGGAAGGAUCUUUCUAAGAAAUAUCAGCCUCAUUUAUUACUAACUUCAGUGGCACUGCUGAGAAAUUAGAUCGUUCAAAACCUUUAUAUUUGAGAUGCUCUUGAAUACUUAAAUGCUGCUAUCCAGAGGUCUAGUUGCAUCUCUAUGUCCCUGGUAUUUCUUCAUUCCCUGCACCUUCUUGCCUUGUGGCAGUACAGGUAUUCACUGAUCCAAAGAUACAGGUAUUCACCACUCCAAAGGAGUGGACUCCUUUGGGAUAGGGGGAUGGCAAAGGCUGGGGGAGGCAGUACAUUGUGUUGCAGGUAUGAGAUGUUUCUGUGGACCUAUUGAUGUACAUCAGACGAAGUGUGUGCGAAAAGGCUCUUAAACCCAAAAAAUAACCAAGGGUAGACUGUUGCUUGCACACAGAGCCCAUGCAUCAGUGGGAACUGGGAGAGCUGGGAGAGCAAGUGCAGCCAGCUUGGUGCUACCAGCAUACUUGCAGCACUACUACCUCUUAUUUUAACAUUUACGUCUCCAUGUUUAGCACUGAAGAUGACUAUGAAAGUGAAAAUUCUUUAUAUACAAACAAGCUGAAACCUCACAUUCCUUUACUAUAAGAAUGACUCCAACUAGCUAUAGAGCUGUACUUCAGUGCAAUGUAUUUUCUCAUUAUUAAAGCUGCCUAUCUUUUUUAGCUCUUCUACUGCCUAAUCACCAUUCUAAAUAUGCCUGCAAAUGUAUCUUGGCUUCCUUGGACUGGUACUUUAACCUCUGGAAAACUAUUUUUCUUGAACUAAUGUGCAAUUUUCAUUCAAUCAGGGGUGUCUGGGCUUGACUUUGUAACCUCUUGAAUGCAAUAAAAUCACUAGAGUAAUGCUUAAUGACACACAGGGUUGAAAAUAUAUUUUAAGAAUUUCAAGGCUGUUACUUUCUCAAUUUCAAAUUUAUCAGACAAUUAAAAAAAUAAUUAAAUAUUCAGUCUCCGUACAACUUAACAGAGAUGCUGGGUCUACUUAACAGACUUUAUUAGGCUCAUGGGUCAAAAUUAAUUUGUUAAAACUACUUAAUGCAAGAGAUACUGUCCUGUAUUACAUCUAUUUAGUGCUAGCAUACAAAGAAGCCCUAUACCAGAUUUCUAAUUCAAUGCUCACCAGUCUUUAGAACGUUGUUUCAAUCCAUUUUACUGAGUAAAUUUGACUGUGGCAAAAUCAAAUAACAAAGACAAAUUAGUUGCAUCUUCUGUUAAUCAUUGAUUAUAAAUUAGACAUGCUAGCUCAACUGAAAUGUCUCUGAGGAUGUGAAUAUUAGAGUUAAUUGUUUAAUUUAGAAAAGAGCUAGAAAGUUUGUUUCCAUUUGUACUGCUUGUAAUCCUUUGAGAUUAACAUAUUUGGACUCUUUACUUGAUAAGUGACAGUCUUUCAAAUACUGAGUUUUUUAGAUGGACCACUGUUUAAAGAGUAAAUGAUACCUGGACAGCAAAAGUAUUUGUUUCAUUGUAAUGUUGACUCUCAUUUGUUGAUGUGUUUUCCUUGAUCAUACUCCUUAUACGGAAAGAUUACACAAUUUAUCAAUAUUUGUAGAGCUAUUUAGUAGGACCUAAUUCAAGUAAUUAAGUACAAGCUAAAGUCCAAUCAAGUCAAAUUUAUUAAAAUUAAGCUUUAGUUUAAGAAAUUUCAUAGAAAAGCAGAAUGAUUCACAAAUCAUCAGCCAACAGAGAACUACUUAAGCUUAAAUACUGUUUAAAGAUAUUCCAAUCAUUUUUUUCAAUCAUCUUGAAAGCUGUGUAAAGGAAAGUUAUCCUUUAAUUUUUUGUCAGUAUAAUGCCUAGCACAAUGGAAAUCAAGUUUUUGGUUUAUAGUCCUGGG